rnacentral:rRNA from 1 species
ACUUUGAUCCUGGCUCAGGACGAACGCUGGCGGCGCGCCUCCUGCAUGCAAGUCGAGCGACGCACUCCUUAGCCCGUAAGGGCGGGUUUGACGGAGCGGCGAACGGGUGCGUAACACGUGACUAAUCUACCCCGAAGACCGGGAUAGACCGGGGAAACCCGGAUUACUACCGGAUGAUCUCACCGCAGCGCAUGUUGCGGUGUCCAACGGUUCAGGCGCUUCGGGAUGAGGUCGCGGCCCAUCAGCUGGUUCGGGAGGUAACGCCUCACCAUGGCAACGACGGGUAGCUGGUCUGACAGGACGAUCAGCCACACUGGAACUGAGAUCCGGUGCAGACUCCUACGGGAGGCAGCAGCAGGGAAUCUCGCGCAAUGGCCGAAAUCCUGACGCAGCCAUGCCGCGUGCGGCAUGAAGGCCUUGGGGUUGUAAACGCCUUUCACGAGGGAAGAAAAUGACGGUACCUCGAGAAGACGCUCUGGCUACCUACGUGCCAGCAGCCGAGGUAUUCUGUAGAGGGCGAGCGUUGUCAGGACUUAUUGCGCAUAUAGCGCUCGUAGGCGGCUGACUAGUCGGCCGUGACAACGCUGGCUCAACCAUGGGAGUCCGUCGUACUGUCAUGUCUAGGUCAGGUAGAGGGGAUGGCAUCCCUGUGUAGC